rnacentral:tRNA from 1 species
GCCGGGGUAGCCUAGUGGUACUUUAAAAGGCACUAAAGGGCGGCAGCCUGCUAAGCUGUUUGGCUUUAAAGCCUUCGCGAGUUCGAUUCUCGCCUCCGGCG